rnacentral:rRNA from 1 species
CGCACGGGUGAGUAAUAUAUAGUUAAUGUGCCUUCAAGACCGGGAUAGCCAUUGGAAACGAUGAUUAAUACUGGAUAUACCUUCUCCUCAUAAGUGGAGUUGGGAAACGUUUUUUCGCUUGAAGAUCAGACUAUAUCCCAUCAGUUAGUUGGUAGUGUAAGAGACUACCAAGGCAAUGACGGGUAGCGGGUUUGAGAGGAUGAUCCGCC